rnacentral:rRNA from 1 species
CCUACGGGGGGCUGCAGUCGAGGAUCUUCGGCAAUGGGGGCAACCCCGACCGAGCGACGCCGCGUGUGCGACGAAGGCCUUCGGGUUGUAAAGCACUGUCGAGGGGGAGAAACGCCGGGCGACCGGCUUGAUCUAUCCCUGGAGGAAGCUCGGGCUAAGUUCGUGCCAGCAGCCGCGGUAAGACGAACCGAGCGAACGUUGUUCGGAAUCACUGGGCUUAAAGGGCGCGUAGGCGGGCUGCCAAGUCCGUGGUGAAAUCCCCCGGCUCAACCGGG